CUUGGUCAUUUAGAGGAAGUAAAAGUCGUAACAAGGUUUCCGUAGGUGAACCUGCGGAAGGAUCAUUACUGAAAAACGCUCGAGGAUGUUGCUGGCCUCGCGCACGUGCACUCCUCGAACCAUUUCUGACCCUUCUCACACCAUGUGCACCUGUUGUAGGUCCGUCGACCUAUGUUUUUUCUCUUAUAAACUCCAUCGAAUGUGUAUGAAUGUACAAGGGCUUAGGCCCUAAUAAAGCACAACUUUCAACAAUGGAUCUCUUGGCUCUCGCAUCGAUGAAGAACGCAGCGAAAUGCGAUACGUAAUGUGAAUUGCAGAAUUCCGUGAAUCAUUGAAUCUUUGAACGCACCUUGCGCCCCUUGGUAUUCCGAGGGGCAUGCCUGUUUGAGUGUCAUUGAAACCCCUCAACUCGACCUUCUAAAAGGUCGAGCUUGGAUUUGGAGAGUGCCGGCCAGCUUCGGCUCCUCUGAAAAGCAUUAGCGAGCGACUCUNGCGUCUGCUUUGGCGUUGAUAAACCUGUCUACGCCCCNGGCACGCUCGACGUGUUUGCUUACAGUCGUCCUCUAGGGACAACCGUGACCCAACAUCACCUCAAUCAGGUAGGACUACCCGCUGAACUUAGCAUAUCAUUAGCGNGAGGAAAGAAACUAACARGGANUCCCCUAGUGACUGCGAGUGAAGCGGGAAAAGCUCAANUUAAANUCUGGCGUUCUCUCGGACGUCCGAGUUGUAAUCUAGAGAAGCGUCUUCCGCGCCGGACCGUGUACAAGUCUCUUGGAAUGGAGCGUCGUAGAGGGUGACAAUCCCGUCUUUGACACGGACCGCCGGUGCUUUUGUGAUGCGCUCUCGAAGAGUCGAGUUGUUUGGGAAUGCAGCUCAAAACGGGUGGUAAAUUCCAUCUAAAGCUAAAUACAGGCGAGAGACCGAUAGCGAACAAGUACCGUGAGGGAAAGAUGAAAAGAACUUUGAAAAGAGAGUUAAACAGUACGUGAAAUUGUUGAAAGGGAAACGAUUCAAGUCAGUCGCGUCGCCCGGUAAUCAACCCUUUUUUCGAAGAGGGCUCACUUUCUGGGUCGACGGGUCAGCGUCAAUUUUGACCGUCAGAUAAAGGUGCGAGGAAUGUGGCAUCUUCGGAUGUGUUAUAGCCUCUCGUCGCAUGUGAUGGUCGGGAUUGAGGAUCUCGACACGCCGCAAGGUCGGGGCGUUCGCGCCCACGUAAACGUGUCUCGGAUGCUGGCAUAAUGGCUUGAACCGACCCGUCUUGAAACACGGACC
rnacentral:rRNA from 1 species